rnacentral:rRNA from 1 species
UACGUAGGGUGCAAGCGUUGUCCGGAAUUACUGGGCGUAAAGCGUGCGCAGGCGGUUUUGUAAGCCAGAUGUGAAAGCCCCGGGCUUAACCUGGGAAUGGCAUUUGGGACUGCAAGGCUUGAGUGCGGCAGAGGAGACUGGAAUUCCUGGUGUAGCAGUGAAUUGCGUAGAUAUCAGGAGGAAUACCGAUGGCGAAGGCAGGUCUCUGGGCUGACACUGACGCUCAUGCACGAAAGCGUGGGGAGCAAACAGG